rnacentral:rRNA from 2 species
GCGACCCCAGGACGGGCGAGGCCACCCGCCGAGUUUAAGCAUAUCAAUAAGCGGAGGAGAAA